UACGUAGGGUGCGAGCGUUGUCCGGAAUUAUUGGGCGUAAAGCGCACGUAGGCGGCUUUGUAAGUUAGAGGUGAAAGCCCGGAGCUCAACUCCGGAACUGCCUUUAAGACUGCAUCGCUUGAACGUCGGAGAGGUAAGUGGAAUUCCGAGUGUAGAGGUGAAAUGCGCAGAUAUCAGGAGGAACACCGGUGGCGAAGGCGGGUCUCUGGGCCGAUACUGACGCUGAGGAGCGAAAGCGUGGGGAGCGAACAGG
rnacentral:rRNA from 1 species